UACAGAGGGUGCGAGCGUUGUCCGGAAUCACUGGGCGUAAAGGGCGCGUAGGCGGCUCGGUAAGGUUGCGGUGAAAGCCCGGGGCUCAACCCCGGGUCGGCCGUGGCAACUGCUGGGCUCGAGCACUGUAGAGGCAGGUGGAAUUCCGGGUGUAGCGGUGGAAUGCGUAGAGAUCCGGAAGAACACCGGUGGCGAAGGCGGCCUGCUGGGCAGUGGCUGACACUGAGGCGCGACAGCGUGGGGAGCAAACAGG
rnacentral:rRNA from 1 species